CAGUCGCCACGGUAAUACAGAGGAUGCAAGCGUUAUCCGGAAUGAUUGGGCGUAAAGGGCUCGCAGGCGGUUUCUUAAGUCUGAUGUGAAAGCCCCCGGCUCAACCGGGGAGGGUCAUUGGAAACUGGGAAACUUGAGUGCAGAAGAGGAGAGUGGAAUUCCACGUGUAGCGGUGAAAUGCGUAGAGAUGUGGAGGAACACCAGUGGCGAAGGCGACUCUCUGGUCUGUAACUGACGCUGAGGAGCGAAAGCGUGGGGAGCGAACAGGAUUAGAUACCCCUGUAGUCCCUGUCUCUUAUAC
rnacentral:rRNA from 1 species